UACCAGCACCCCGAGUGGUCGGGACGUUUAUUGGGCCUAAAGCAUCCGUAGCCGGUUCUACAAGUCUUCCGUUAAAUCCACCUGCUUAACAGAUGGGCUGCGGAAGAUACUAUAGAGCUAGGAGGCGGGAGAGGCAAGCGGUACUCGAUGGGUAGGGGUAAAAAUCCGUUGAUCCAUUGAAGACCACCAGUGGCGAAGGCGGCUUGCCAGAACGCGCUCGACGGUGAGGGGAUGAAAGCUGGGGGGAGCAAACCGG
rnacentral:rRNA from 1 species